rnacentral:lncRNA from 1 species
UGUGAUCAUUAAAACAUCUAUCUAUCUACAGGAGCGUAUAUGUCACCUCCUCCAUUUGACCUGGAGAGCCUCUCAAAGGCAGAGGGAGCAAUGUCGGCCAGUAACAAGUUAUUGUCCCGGCCAUCGACGAGUGGGGAGGUGGGAGCCAGCGUUAACCAAGACCCCAGAGAAUAUAACGAGUGGGGAGGUGGGAGCCAGCGUUAACCAAGACCCCAGAGAAUAUGUGUUACAGGGGAACAUAGGGACGUGACAAUUGAACAAUUUUUAGACGCUGGUUAAGUGGGGGAGCUGUAUGAAAUAGCUGUAAAGAUAAAGAACUUCAAUAUACUGAAGACACCACAUGCAGAUGAAGCAGCUACGAGGGACUGCAGGUCCUUAGAGGGUCGGCACGAGUACAGUCAUACCACAAGAUGCCAUUGAACUGGAAUUUGCAGAAAUUUGGUCCGAGACAAAAAUGAAAGCUAAUCUGGGUGGAGAGGAAUUGAGACGAUUCUUUGCUCUGCCUACAGCUUAUUCGUGGGAACAAGAUGGACUUGACCGUCAACUGUCGAACAUAUUGAACUCACUGAAGGAAUCUCAAGAGUAUUACUUCUUUGGAGUAAGAAAGAACUCGACCGAUGACGGUAAAAUUUUCUUCGAAAUCACACAGACGGCAGUACAACUCUUGUCCAUGUAGUGAUGAUUGUCUCACUUACAUUACUUGUAUUAUUAUUAUUUUUAUUAACCAUUCCUAGUUGAUUUAGUACCAUAAGCUGUUGAAGCCCAGUCUUGUACAGAAGUAAACGUUAAUAGUUUA